rnacentral:rRNA from 1 species
GAUGAACGCUGGCGGCGUGCUUAACACAUGCAAGUCGAACGGAAAGGCUCCUGCUUGCCGGGGUACUCGAGUGGCGAACGGGUGAGUAACACGUGGGUGAUCUGCCCUGCACUUCGGGAUAAGCCUUGGAAACUGGGUCUAAUACCGGAUAGGACGAUGUUUUGGAUGCCAUUGUGGAAAGUUUUUCGGUGUGGGAUGAGCUCGCGGCCUAUCAGCUUGUUGGUGGGGUAAUGGCCUACCAAGGCGUCGACGGGUAGCCGGCCUGAGAGGGUGUACGGCCACAUUGGGACUGAGAUACGGCCCAGACUCCUACGGGAGGCAGCAGUGGGGAAUAUUGCACAAUGGGCGCGAGCCUGAUGCAGCGACGCCGCGUGGGGGAUGACGGCCUUCGGGUUGUAAACUCCUUUCGCUGGGGACGAAGCGCAAGUGACGGUACCUGGAGAAGAAGCACCGGCUAACUACGUG